rnacentral:rRNA from 1 species
UUGAUCCUGGCUCAGGAUGAACGCUAGCUACAGGCUUAACACAUGCAAGUCGAGGGGCAGCAUGAACAUAGCUUGCUAUGUUUGAUGGCGACCGGCGCACGGGUGCGUAACACGUAUCCAAUCUGCCCGUCACUCGGGGAUAGCCUUCUGAAAGGAAGAUUAAUACCCGAUGGCAUGCAUUUCCGGCAUCGGAGAUGCAUUAAAGAUUUUAUCGGUGACGGAUGAGGAUGCGUACGAUUAGCUAGUUGGCGGGGUAACGGCCCACCAAGGCUACGAUCGUUAGGGGUUCUGAGAGGAAGGUCCCCCACACUGGAACUGAGACACGGUCCAGACUCCUACGGGAGGCAGCAGUGAGGAAUAUUGGUCAAUGGGCGAGAGCCUGAACCAGCCAAGUAGCGUGAAGGAUGACUGCCCUACGGGUUGUAAACUUCUUUUGUUUGGGAAUAAAAGACGCUACGUGUAGCGUUGUGCAUGUACCUUACGAAUAAGCAUCGGCUAAUUCCGUGCCAGCAGCCGCGGUAAUACGGAAGAUGCGAGCGUUAUCCGGAUUUAUUGGGUUUAAAGGGAGCGUAGGCGGGCUGUUAAGUCGGCGGUAAAAUGUCAAGGCCCAACCUUGUCCUGCCGUUGAAACUGGCGGUCUUGAAUGCACACAAGGGAGAUGGAAUUCGUCGUGUAGCGGUGAAAUGCUUAGAUAUGACGAAGAACUCCGAUUGCGAAGGCAGUCUCCUGGGGUGUAAUUGACGCUGAGGCUCGAAAGUGCGGGUAUCAAACAGGAUUAGAUACCCUGGUAGUCCGCACAGUAAACGAUGAAUGCUGGUUCUUGGCGAUAUACAGUCAGGAACUGAGGGAAACCAUUAAGCAUUCCACCUGGGGAGUACGCCGGCAACGGUGAAACUCAAAGGAAUUGACGGGGGCCCGCACAAGCGGAGGAACAUGUGGUUUAAUUCGAUGAUACGCGAGGAACCUUACCCGGGCUUGAAUUGCAGCUGCAUGGGGCAGAGAUGUCCCUUCCCUUCGGGGCUGCUGUGAAGGUGCUGCAUGGUUGUCGUCAGCUCGUGCCGUGAGGUGUCGGCUUAAGUGCCAUAACGAGCGCAACCCUUGCUGUCAGUUGCCAUCAGGUAGAGCUGGGCACUCUGGCGGGACUGCCAUCGCAAGAUGUGAGGAAGGUGGGGAUGACGUCAAAUCAUCAUGCCCCUUAUAUCCUGGGCUACACACGUAAUACAAUGGUGGUAAACAGAGGGAGGCAAUACAGUGAUGUGGAGCAAAUCCCUAAAAGCCAUCUCAGUUCGGAUUGCAGGCUGCAACUCGCCUGCAUGAAGCUGGAAUUGCUAGUAAUCGCGGAUCAGCAUGCCGCGGUGAAUACGUUCCCGGGCCUUGCACUCACCGCCCGUCA